rnacentral:tRNA from 1 species
CGGACAGAAGCCCGCUGGAUAGGGUGUUUAGCUGUUAAUUAAUUUUUUGUGGGAUCGAGGCCCGCCUGUCUAG